CUUGGAGGAUUGGUUAGGGCAGAGCAGUAGAGAACACAGGUUGUUACCUUGGAGGAUGGGUUAGGGCAGAGCAGUAGAGAACACAGGUUGUUACCUUGGAGGAUGGGUCAGGGCAGAGCAGUAGAGAACACAGGUUGUUACCUUGGAGGAUGGGUUAGGGCAGAGCAGUAGAGAACACAGGUUGUUACCUUGGAGGAUGGGUUAGGGCAGAGCAGUAGAGAACACAGGUUAUUACCUUGAAAUAUGGGUUAGGGCAGAGCAGUAGAGAACACAGGUUGUUACCUUGGAGGAUGGGUUAGGGCAGAGCAGUAGAGAUAGAUACUCUAUAUAGAUCACAAAUAUGUAUGCACAUUGUCAUAUUCUGGUAUUUUACAUCAAGCCUUUCUGAAACAAAUGCAAAGAAUGUAAUUGAAUUCAUAUCAGAACUACACACAUUACCUCUGAAUG
ensembl:lncRNA